CCUACGGGAGGCAGCAGUAGGGAAUUUUCGGCAAUGGGGGUAACCCUGACCGAGCAACGCCGCGUGAACGAAGAAGUUAUUCGUAAUGUAAAGCUCUUUUAACAGGGAAGAAAGAGAAAUCUUACGGUAACUGAAGAAUAACCUCCGUCUAAAUACGUGCCAGCAGCCGCGGUACUGCGUAGGGAGGGAGCGGUAUCCGAAUGUAUUCGGCGUAAAGGGUGCGUAGAUGGCAUAGUAAGUUUUUUGUAAAAAUGCUGGGCUAAACCAGGUAGGGCAAAAGAUACUGCAAAGCUAGAGUAUGAGAGAGGCAAGUGGAACUACAGGUGUAGCGGUAAAAUGCGUAAAUAUAAGUAAGAACACCAGUGGCGAAGGCGGCUUGCUGGGUCGAUACUGACAUUGAGGCACGAAAGCGUGGGGAGCAAACAGGAUUAGAUACCCUGGUAGUC
rnacentral:rRNA from 1 species